UGAAAACGCAGUUAAUAAGAAGUAAGUGCCAAUAAUUAUGUGUUUUUGUUACGUCUAAAAUGUUGGUGACUGAUUUUUUAUUAUUAAAUGCGAAAGGUUUAAAUAAAAAAAGGGAAAAUCAAGUGGUUAUGUAACAAUAACAAAUAUUAAUUACGGUCCUGUACGACCGUACCGGUAAUAAACGCUCAAUGCAUUCAAAAACAAACGUCAAACUUCAAUCAUUUUACUUUUUUUCAAAUAUAAAAUACAUUUAAAAUUAACAGUGUUAACAGAAUAUAUACUUUAAGAGAAUGUCGGCAGCCAAAAUAGUGGAAUUAACUGACGAAAACAUCUGUAAAAUAUGUGAAAAUGCUUAUGGGAAAUAUUCUUGUCCCCGUUGUAACAUUAAGUACUGUUCCUUAUCGUGCUAUCAGUCAGAAAAACAUCAACAGUGUUCAGAGUCAUUCUAUAAAGAUUGUGUAUAUCAGGACUUGGCAUUAGAUCAAAGUGAUCCUAAUUCAAAAGAAAGGAUGCUAGAAAUUUUAAAACGUGUACACGAAGAUAACAUUGGAAACGUAAACGAAGAUAUUCAAGAAGAGAAUGGCUCUGAUAAUUUGGAUUCUGAUGAUGAAGUUUACAUUGAUUUGAAUGAACGUUUAAAGGGGGUAAAUUUAGAUGAUGCAGAUAAAGUUUGGGAAAAAUUAACAUCAGAUGAGAGACAAGAAUUUGAAUCAUUUAUUAGGUCAGGAGAUGUAACUAAUUUAAUUGAAAAAUGGGAUCCAUGGUGGCUUUAUCGAUCAGAAAAGAAAGUUAUAGAAGUAGAAAAGACUGAGGAAUAUAAACAGAAAUGCCCUAAGAUUACAGAAGAUAUCAUGGCUUUCUCGACUUUGUGUAGUAAACCACCAGCCCCAUGUCUCAAAUUUAAUUUAAUCAACAUAAUCGGCUCUUACGCCUUUGUGACACGUUAUUUUAAUGGAGAGUACUAUGAUUUUGCCAAUGAGGCAGCUUCAACUAUAAUUUGUAUAUCUCUAGUACUUAGAGAAUCUCAUAAUUUUGAAGAUUCAGAUUCUGCUUUGGUUUCGAUUCACCAGGAAUGUAUAAAUAGCGAUUGGAUCACCAUUGAUCAAGAAAAUAUAGAUGUCUUGCAAGAAGACGUUAAAAAGAUCCUUCUUGGACCCACUUCGAGUGAUAGUAAAUAUUAUAUUAUGUGCGCUCUUUCGGAUCUUCAGAAGCUAAUUGAUGUUGCAAUUGAAACCCCAAAAGAAGAGAAAAAGAAAAGUAACUUUUUAGAUGCAUUAUCUGAUUAUGAAAUGCCGUCAACUAAACUUAUUCCUAAGAAGGAAAUGUUAAGGCAUUUAAAAAAAAUUGAAUUCUUUUUAUCAUAUGUAAAAGACUGCUUAGAAUGCUAAAUAAAAAUCCAAAUCUGAAUAAAUACUUUCAUCACAAUAAGUUUCUGUUUUUGUAAGAUAAUUUUCUAAUACUAAAGUUAACAAGUAUUUAUUUUCGGAAUUAAGUCAACCAUUUUCGAUCACAGUGUUCUCCCGUAAAAUAUACUCUAGGAACUUUGUUUUGCAACGGCGUCAUUUAGAUGUGAGAUAGAUAACUAUAGGAUUAAAUAAGGGUAAUUUAGAUAAAUUGUGCUCCUCUUCAAAGUACAAUUAGUUUGGGUUUCCCUGAUUUUUUCUAAUUUUGUAGUUGACCGGAAGAACCGAAAACUAACAAUUACGAAUAUACCAUUAAUGUGGUUAUUAACAUUCCCUAUCCCCAAUCAAAGGCUUUACUUUACAUAGUCGCAUGGUAAAUGUCAAACAAUAUUUUAGAAUAAUUCAAAUCAAAUGGAAAGCAAUUUGAGAACACCCAGUACAUGUUUUUACAUUUAUAUCUGUAGUUUUCCGCGAUUGGUUCUUGCUUAUAAUAAAAUCAAUAAACUUACUGUCAGCUGUCAUUUUACGUCCAAUUAGGUGUAAUAAGGUAUUGUCGUCAUAUUUAUCUAUAAAGUCUGAAGCAAGUUAUAAUAAUACUGUUAUUUAUUUAAAUUAUUCAUUUUAAUAUUUAUCAGAAUAAAACAUGCACUCGUUGGUGGGUUAUGGAAGUGAUGAUGAUUUGGACGAAUCACCACCCCCACGAAAAUCGUAUGACGCAAAAGAACAUCGUCUUCCUACUUAACAGGCCUGGCAGUUGGGGAACCAAAUUGGUUUUCAAAGUCAGACCCGCCUUCGUUCAGUUCAACCGUCGCAAGCUGAUGUUAAUUAUGAGGAAGUACAGAUGGAUCUUAGUGAGGUAGGAUAUGCAAAAGUAAACAACAAGCUAUUUAUUCAUGUGUUCACUUUUUGUUGAAACUAUAAUUUCGAAUUAUGUAACAUUUACAUAUACCUACACUAUAUAUGUUAAUUAGCUUAUAUAAUUUAGCUCUUCUUUUCACUGUUGAAUAUAAACAUAAAAGUGAUAAGUUUUUAAUCAUGUAGAUGGAUUUCAUUGGUAAUUUUAAAAUUGACAUUUAUUUUCCUAAAUGGACAUUACUUUUUUACAUUAAUAUCACAUUCAAAUGACAAAUCUGAAUAAAAUACAGAAUGUCAUUUACUCUCCCUUUUAUGUCUUUUUGACUAAUGAUAUUAACUCACUCUCUUGAUAUAUUAUUGGUAAAGUGGUUUCGAGAGUACACCAACUGCCUUGUUCUGAUAGUGAACAUCAAGAUGAGCCAUCGGUAAGUACUUGUCGGUCUGGACAACCAGAUAACGACUGAAAUUAGUUUCUACCAUAGUUUUCUUCCAUACCAUUUUGUUGUUUAAGCAGUCCAUUAUAAUGAUUUAUAACUGUCAAAAAUGAAUUCUUAUCUUUUUAUUAUUGUGUCUAAGAUACUUAAAGUAAGUAAUUAUUAAUAUCAGUAAAAAUAAAAUGUUAUAUCAAAAUAAUGACCAUAAAACUGCUACACAUCAUGUUAAAUCUUACAUGCAUAAUGUAAAUUAAAAUUUAUUUGCUUAAGUUAAUAAUCAUUAUUUAAAAUACAAAAUUGUACAACGAAUUUAAUCUUGCAAAUUAAUUAGAAUUAACGAAAAAACGUUUUUGGUUAUUCAGAGACUUGUUUGUAAGCAUUGCUUGGAUAUGAUUGCCAACAAUUUACAUUUUUAAA